UGAAUUUGUAUCACACGCCAAGGAAUCUAAAGUGCGGUUCAGACGUCACUCGCUGAACGCUAGGCAUUCGCACUUUCACAGCCAUUUAGUAUUAAGAAUUAUGGCUGCUGAUUUCGGCCGUGUUUCAUGCAGGUGGAAACAACCGGCGAAGAGCUUGAAGGCGUGUCUGGGGUAGCAUUCGAACUUCUGAGUUUUUGGUGAACUGGUUGAAAUACUUCUGUCAAGAACAAACAUGUUGUAAAUUGACUACCAUUUAUUAAAGAUAAGGAAGAUCUUAAAAAACUAGCCAAGUGCAGUAACUGAAAUAUUGUAAAGGUUAGGAUAAGAGUUGUCUCCCUGUAAGUUAAGACUCAACAUUGUAGGUAAUUGUGGUAUGUAUAGAUUUUAUUUCUUAAUGGAAGGUUGAACAUUUCCAUUCUGUAUGAAUUUGUAUCAAAAUUGGAAGUCAGUAUACAGAAAAAGGACAUUUUUUCAACAUUUGCCCAGAGGAACCUAACAUAGCAUGGAUUUUAUUUUUUCCCAUUCGAAGGUUAUGGACCCUCCUAUCAGAGGGAGUGGAGAAACAUCUGGUAGUAUACGUACUACAGUGUUUGACAGUUACGUGUUAUUACUGUAUAUGUAGUUUGAAAUGUCAACAAAAUUAGUCUGCAGCAAGUUUGUGUUUUUGUUAUUUAUAUUGAUACGUUUUAUACACAGAAAUGCUGAAAGCCUGUAAAACUAUCUUUUCACUUGACUAACAAAAAUGAAUGGCUGGAAUUUUUGUCUAGUAGAGACAUUUGACAUACUAUU